AGGGUCCAAGAAUUUGCAUUUCUAACAAUGUCCCACAUGUCACCACUAAUCCAGAGAACCGUUGCAGAGACCAAAAAAGCUGGCUCCUGACCCAUCUUCUACCACCCAUGUGAUCCACUUACAAGGUAUUACUUGAGCUAUUAACCUUGGCUGCCCCAGCCCUUGGAGAGUUGUGGAAAAUAUUCUUCUACUGACCUGGGCUCCAAUUUAAUCUAGUGGAUCAUUUUCUCACUCACUAUGGGAGUGUCUGAAACUUGAUCAUGUUUUAGUUGAACUAUUCAUGAAGCUUCUGAGUUCAGCGUGGGAGUGGGGAAGGGACAGAGCUACCAAUCACUCUCCUUUCGUAAGAGGGCGUUGAUAAAAAGGGGAGAGGCUGCCAAGAGAUGUGCUUGAGCAGGAAGAGACUGCCCUGCCAACAGCCAGCCUUGGCUAUCACUCUCUCAAGAGGCUUGGAGGAUGUUCAGGGUUCUUUCUUUCAUGAUGUACUUCUCAUGGGUUACUCAGAAGUUCCCUCACUAGGGUUAUCUAACUGCAGAUCCCUCAGAAUCAAUGUCCCUCCACUGGCUUUACAGCACUGAAUCCAAGUCUACCUCCAACCAUUUUCUGUUAAGGAAUAUGACAAACCUGAAGAUACCUGAGGAGGUAGCUACUACUGUACAAGGGUAAAGAAGUGUGUGUUCCCAUGGAUGAUUCAAGCCUGUCCAGCAGUAUUGAUGUAGACAAAGGCUUUGCCAUCGCCUUUGUUGUUCUUCUGUUUCUGUUCCUAAUCGUGAUGAUUUUUCGGUGUGCCAAGUUGGUGAAGAACCCCUAUGAGGCCAGCUCCACAACAGCAGAACCGUCGCUGAGCUGAACUAUGAAAAAGCCUGACAGACUCCUCCUCAGGGGAGAUAUUAAAUCUUCUAUACAGGUGUUUAUGAUCUGGACUUCAUAUUGGUUCCCCUCUCUGUGUGUCAGCCUUCUCACUCUGGCAUUCCACAAUAGGCACAGGAGGGUGAGUUGAGAAUAAUAAAAAGGAUGAAACACAAGCCA
rnacentral:lncRNA from 1 species